rnacentral:rRNA from 1 species
GAUUGAACGCUGGCGGCAUGCCUUACACAUGCAAGUCGAACGGCAGCGCGGGAGCAAUCCUGGCGGCGAGUGGCGAACGGGUGAGUAAUACAUCGGAACGUGCCCAAUCGUGGGGGAUAACGCAGCGAAAGCUGUGCUAAUACCGCAUACGAUCUACGGAUGAAAGCAGGGGAUCGCAAGACCUUGCGCGAAUGGAGCGGCCGAUGGCAGAUUAGGUAGUUGGUGAGGUAAAGGCUCACCAAGCCUUCGAUCUGUAGCUGGUCUGAGAGGACGACCAGCCACACUGGGACUGAGACACGGCCCAGACUCCUACGGGAGGCAGCAGUGGGGAAUUUUGGACAAUGGGCGAAAGCCUGAUCCAGCCAUGCCGCGUGCAGGAUGAAGGCCUUCGGGUUGUAAACUGCUUUUGUACGGAACGAAACGGUCUUUUCUAAUAAAGAAGGCUAAUGACGGUACCGUAAGAAUAAGCACCGGCUAACUACGUG